UCUCCGUAGGUGAACCUGCGGAAGGAUCAUUAUUGUAUAACCGAGGUGCGAGGGCUGUCGCUGACCCGAAAGGUCGUGCACGCCCGAGUGCCCUCACACACAUCCAUCUCACCCCUAUGUGCACCACCGCGUGGGUCCCCCUUUGGCUUGUUCGGAGGGGGGCUUACGUUUUCACACAAACUUUGUAUGCAGUGUAGAAUGUAUUUUUUGUUUUUGCGAUCACGCAAUCAAUACAACUUUCAACAACGGAUCUCUUGGUUCUG
rnacentral:misc_RNA from 1 species